rnacentral:misc_RNA from 1 species
AAUAUCAACCCCUCCUGGUUUCUGAUCAGUGUUGGGCUUGGACUUGGGUGUCUGCCAGCUCGCUGGCUCGCCUUAAAAGAGUUAGUGGUAAUAACAUCCACGGCUAAGACGUAAUAAGUUUCGUCUGGUCAAGGUGUGACGACUGCUCAUAACCCGACCGCAAGGUCAUUAUUUUAUG